rnacentral:rRNA from 1 species
UAUUAUACUUAGUUUAAAUUGAAAUUUGAUCUUUGAGUAGUAACCAGGUAUAAUCUCGAAACUCAAAGAAUUUGGCGGUAUCUAAGUCUAGUUAGAGGAAUCUGUGCAGUAAACGAUAGUCCGCGAGUAUCUUGCCCUGCUUUGUAAUUACUCAGUUUGUAUACCGCCAUUAUUAGAUAAUCUUUUUAGAGAGUUAUUACAAUUAAGUGAGGUUUAGUAUAUUAGGUCAAGGUGCAGCUUAUAGUGGGGGUGUCAUGGAUUACAAUGGUAUAAGUGUUAGACGGAUUGGUCGUGGGAGAGCGAUCUUUAAGGUGGAUUUAAUUGUAAGGGGUGUAGAUUGAGCGUGGUCUGAUAAGAGCUCUUGGAUAUGUACAUAUCGCCCGUCGCUA